rnacentral:rRNA from 1 species
CACGGGGGGAGCAAGCGUUGUUCGGAAUCACUGGGCGUAAAGGGCGUGUAGGCGGUCAGGUAAGUGGGACGUGAAAUGCCUCGGCUCACCCGAGGAGCGGCGUCCCAUACUGCUUGGCUUGAGUACGGGAGAGGAUGUGGGAAUUCCUGGUGUAGCGGUGAAAUGCGCAGAUAUCAGGAAGAACACCCGUGGCGAAGGCGGCUCUCUGGGACGGUACUGACGCUGAGACGCGAAAGCGUGGGGAGCGAACAGG